rnacentral:rRNA from 1 species
UAGGGAAUCUUCGGCAAUGGACGGAAGUCUGACCGAGCAACGCCGCGUGAGUGAAGAAGGUUUUCGGAUCGUAAAGCUCUGUUGUAAGAGAAGAACGAGUGUGAGAGUGGAAAGUUCACACUGUAACGGUAUCUUACCAGAAAGGGACGGCUAACUACGUGCCAGCAGCCGCGGUAAUACGUAGGUCCCGAGCGUUGUCCGGAUUUAUUGGGCGUAAAGCGAGCGCAGGCGGUUAGAUAAGUCUGAAGUUAAAGGCUGUGGCUUAACCAUAGUACGCUUUGGAAACUGUUUAACUUGAGUGCAAGAGGGGAGAGUGGAAUUCCAUGUGUAGCGGUGAAAUGCGUAGAUAUAUGGAGGAACACCGGUGGCGAAAGCGGCUCUCUAGCUUGUAACUGACGCUGAGGCUCGAAAGCGUGGGGAGCAAACAGGAUUAGAUACCCUGGUAGUCCACGCCGUACGAUGAGUGCUAGGUGUUAGACCCUUUCCCGGGGUUAGUGCGCAGCUACGCAUUAAGCACUUCCGCCUGGGGAGUACACCAGGUG